ensembl:misc_RNA Metazoa_SRP Metazoan signal recognition particle RNA
GCCAGGCAUGGAGGCACGUGCCUGUAGUCCCAGCUACUUCGGAGGUUGAUGCUGGAGGAUUGAUUGAGCCCAGGAGUUCUGGGCUGUAGUGCGCUAUGCUGAUUGGGUGUCCGCACUAAGUUCGGCAUCAAUAUGGUGACCUCUUGAGAGUGGGAGACCACCAGGUUGCCUAAGGAAGGGUGAACCGGCCCAGGUAGGAAAUGGAGCGGGUAAAAACUCCCAUGCUGAUCUGUAGUAGAAUUGUGCCUGUGAAUAGCCACUAUACUCCAGCCUGAGCAACAUAGUGAGACCCCGUCUCUU